rnacentral:lncRNA from 1 species
GAUAAAUGUGUUUUUGUAUGCUGGUAAACAAAGAAAACAAAUUGCACGAACUUAUAAGAAGUGUUGGAGAAGCCAGGUCAAACCUUUUUUUUUUUUUUUUUUUCAUUUUCCAGCCCAGUUGGUAAAAACAUUUUAUUUGGUGAAUGCAGGCUGGCAAAGGAUAAUGUCAAAGUGGCAUAAAAAUGCAAAUCCUGCUUCUUCUUCUACUGUUUUGCUCAAUAAAUCCUUGCUUCACUGGGAUAUAUGAAGUCUGGAGGUUCCUCGUUUUAAUGCAGUGGCUUUGUUGGUGGUCUACUUGGUGGUUGUUUGUGCAGUCCCUUUUAUGGCUUGAGAGGCUCUAAUAAGCAGAAGGUCUUUAAGCAGCUUCUCGCUGAUUAGGUGCUAAUUCCCUUGUUCUUCAUUGUAGGGCGGUAAUAAUCUCUUUCCAGUUCGCAGUUGAAUAUUAGACCAGUUGUGGAUCUGUACAGACUACUGUUACUAAUCAGUUCUCUCUAAAAGAUUUAGAAUCCACACAUUCCUGGAACCUAGUAAAAUCUAUAAUGAGAAGUGAGAAGAGAUCUUGAGUUUUCUCAGUCUGUAAAUCAUAAAAAUGUACAAAAUAUGCUAAUUGUUGAUGCCUAUUUUGGAAAAUAAAAGAGUUGAUUCUUUUUGUUUUUGGGUAGAUGGCUCCUAAAUUGAUUUGUACAAGCUUACAAUACACACACAGACAAUGCCGAAAUAAUCUCAUCUAACUGGUCUAUAAAUUGACACAACUGAUAAUAAAAUAGAUUGGUAUCUGAUUCUGAGUGAAAGAAAUGUUCAUAAUCAUUCUGACUGUUUCUAGGAAAUGGUAAGAAAUGAGACUCAGAAUUCAAAUGACCAACUGAA